GCUGCUUUAAGGGCAUUCCCAUCCUCAUGAGGACUUGAAAAGCGACUUGAAAAGCUCCAGGUUUUUGGGCAGCUGCCAAGUACAGAUAUUAAAACCUAGAAAUCUCUUCCACUGUCCAGGGACACCACAGGAACUCCUUUUGCUUUGAACAGAUGCAGCGCCCUUCCUCCUCCUCACUGCUGUUUCCUACUGAGUGUCUGCUGGAAUGAGCUGGUUGGUGGCCAUCGAAAUGUCUUCGUCUUGACUUUGUGUUAUUCCCUAUAGCAGUUCAUAUAUAAAAGCACAGGGAUGCUCUUUGUGGAGGGCCUGGAACGAACCAACCUCUUCUCAUUUUUGCCCUGAAGAAGCUGCUAAAAAGAGGAAAUAGAAUCACAAAGGUUGGAAAAGACCACCUUAAAAUCAUCCAAUUCAACCAUCAACCCAUCUCCUCCAUGCUCUCUGACCGUAUGCCUGAGUGCCACAAAGCAGAAGCAGAACUUGGGAGAAAACUGAAGCAGGAAUUGGGAAGGGAUUCUCAGUUUGGAAUGCUGGUUUAGAACUCUGUCAGCAUAUUCACUGAAGGUGAGGGAGGUUUUAGCCUUCAUAAUGUCUUCUUUUACCAUGUUCAUAAAAUAUUACUCUACUGCAUUCAUUCAUCUUUGAAAACCCAUCUUAAAAUACCAAAUGGAAAAAAAGCUGAUAUCGAUGGAGUUACUUACAUUGAUUUCCAGCUGGAAGGUUUAUCUGAACAGAGAUUUAAUGUCUGAACAGCCAUGAUGAGGUCCAUACAGCCUCUUACAACAUCCAACAUUGGGGAAAUUAAAAGAACAGAGAAUGCAAACCGUGGCAGUUCUCUUGUACACCUUCAUAGCAUU